rnacentral:rRNA from 1 species
UACAGAGGGUGCAAGCGUUGUUCGGAAUUACUGGGCGUAAAGCGCGUGUAGGCGGCAUGUUAAGUCCUGUGUGAAAGCCCUGGGCUCAACCCAGGAAGUGCGCAGGAAACUGGCGUGCUGGAGUGCCGGAGAGGAUGGCGGAAUACCCGGUGUAGAGGUGAAAUUCGUAGAUAUCGGGUGGAACACCUGUGGCGAAGGCGGCCAUCUGGACGGUGACUGACGCUGAGACGCGAAAGCAUGGGGAGCAAACAGG